UAGCGGAACUCCUACGGGAGGCAGCAGUGGGGAAUUUUGGACAAUGGGCGAAAGCCUGAUCCAGCAAUGCCGCGUGUGUGAAGAAGGCCUUCGGGUUGUAAAGCACUUUUGUCCGGAAAGAAAUGGCUCUGGUUAAUACCUGGGGUCGAUGACGGUACCGGAAGAAUAAGGACCGGCUAACUACGUGCCAGCAGCCGCGGUAAUACGUAGGGUCCAAGCGUUAAUCGGAAUUACUGGGCGUAAAGCGUGCGCAGGCGGUUGUGCAAGACCGAUGUGAAAUCCCCGAGCUUAACUUGGGAAUUGCAUUGGUGACUGCACGGCUAGAGUGUGUCAGAGGGGGGUAGAAUUCCACGUGUAGCAGUGAAAUGCGUAGAGAUGUGGAGGAAUACCGAUGGCGAAGGCAACCCCCUGGGAUAACACUGACGCUCAUGCACGAAAGCGUGGGGAGCAAACAGGAUUAGAAACCCUAGUAGUCCACUUAUG
rnacentral:rRNA from 1 species